GGGGCGGUGCCAGACGCGCCUUUAUAAUCAGGUGAGUGGUCACACCUGACCCUCUCCUUCCAGUCCUUUGAGCCAGCGUGGCGGUGACUGCAGCUCGGCGUGGCGGAGCCCUUUGUUUGCGGUGGGCAUCGCAAACAUUCAACCCUCAGUGACUACAGACGGUGUAGGGGGAACAGAUCACCCCGCCGGAGGUUUGGUGGGAAGUAACGUGGUCUGCCUGUGUGGGCUGCAGGUAACUGCGGUUCUCCUCCUCCUGUUCU